rnacentral:rRNA from 1 species
UACGUAGGGUGCAAGCGUUGUCCGGAAUUAUUGGGCGUAAAGAGCUCGUAGGCGGUCUGUCGCGUCUGCUGUGAAAACUCAGGGCUUAACCCUGAGCUUGCAGUGGGUACGGGCAGACUAGAGUGCGGUAGGGGAGACUGGAAUUCCUGGUGUAGCGGUGAAAUGCGCAGAUAUCAGGAGGAACACCGGUGGCGAAGGCGGGGUCUCUGGGCCGUAACUGACGCUGGAGGAGCGAAGGCGUGGGGAGCAAACAGG